rnacentral:rRNA from 1 species
CCUACGGGAGGCAGCAGUGGGGGAUAUUGCACAAUGGGGGGAACCCUGAUGCAGCGAAGCCGCGUGGGUGAAGAAGCGCCUCGGCGCGUAAAGCCCUGUCAGCAGGGAAGCAAAUGACGGUACCUGUAGAAGAAGCCCCGGCUAACUACGUGCCAGCAGCCGCGGUAAUAAUGGGGGGGCAAGCGUUAUCCGGAUUUACUGGGUGUAAAGGGGGCGCAAACGGCGAUGCAAGCCAGGAGGGAAAGCCCUGGGGCCAACCCCGGGACCGCCCUUGGAACUGCGUGUCUGGAGUGCAGGAGGGGCAGGCGGAAUUCGUGGUGUAGCGGUGAAAUGCGUAGAUAUCAGGAAGAACGCCGAUGGCGAAGGCAGCAUGCUGGAGCGCAACUGACGCUGAGGCACGAAAGCGUGGGGAGCGAACAGGAUUAGAUACCCCUGUAGUC